rnacentral:rRNA from 1 species
AACGAACGCUGGCGGCAGGCUUAACACAUGCAAGUCGAACGCAUCCUUCGGGGUGAGUGGCAGACGGGUGAGUAACGCGAGGGAACGUGCCCUUCAGUUUGGGAUAACCCAGGGAAACUUGGGCUAAUACCGGAUACGUGCGAGAGCAGAAAGAUUUAUCGCUGAAGGAUCGGCCCGCGUCUGAUUAGCUAGUUGGUGGGGUAAUGGCCCACCAAGGCGACGAUCAGUAGCUGGUCUGAGAGGAUGAUCAGCCACAUUGGGACUGAGACACGGCCCAAACUCCUACGGGAGGCAGCAGUGGGGAAUAUUGGACAAUGGGCGCAAGCCUGAUCCAGCCAUGCCGCGUGAGUGAUGAAGGCCUUAGGGUUGUAAAGCUCUUUCGUCUGGGACGAUAAUGACGGUACCGGAAGAAGAAGCCCCGGCCAACUUCGUGCCAGCCGCCGCAGUAA